UCACUGGGCUGUGUGGGAUUUUUGUUUGCCACUGCUGUCAGAGCAGUGAUUUUGUAUGUACGAUAGGAAGCAGGGAUGCUUUCAAUGGGAAGACGUGCAACACAGCAAGGGGAACUCCACGGAUUUUUUUUUCUACUUCAGCAAUGGAACUGCAACUUGGAGCUUUUGUG